rnacentral:rRNA from 1 species
ACGAACGCUGGCGGCGUGCCUAAUACAUGCAAGUAGAACGCUGAAGAGAGGAGCUUACUCUUCUUGGAUGAGUUGCGAACGGGUGAGUAACGCGUAGGUAACCUGCCUUGUAGCGGGGGAUAACUAUUGGAAACGAUAGCUAAUACCGCAUAACAAUGGAUGACACAUGUCAUUUAUUUGAAAGGGGCAAUUGCUCCACUACAAGAUGGACCUGCGUUGUAUUAGCUAGUAGGUGAGGUAAUGGCUCACCUAGGCGACGAUACAUAGCCGACCUGAGAGGGUGAUCGGCCACACUGGGACUGAGACACGGCCCAGACUCCUACGGGAGGCAGCAGUAGGGAAUCUUCGGCAAUGGGGGCAACCCUGACCGAGCAACGCCGCGUGAGUGAAGAAGGGUUUCGGAUCGUAAAGCUCUGUUGUAAGUCAAGAACGGGUGUGAGAGUGGAAAGUUCACACUGUGACGGUAGCUUACCAGAAAGGGACGGCUAACUACGUG